AACUUGGUAUUCGUUGAUAAGCAAGCGACAGAAAACUUCUAUCUUGCCUUUUUUUGCUUUUCUUUUCCCUUUAACGAGCAUCGCCAACAACAACCGUCCACGAUGGAGGGUGAUAAAUUAAAAUCUUUUUUGUUAAUGCAAAUGGGUUUCUUUAUUCAAGAUGCUUACAGUGAUUUAAAUAUUAAUAAUAUUGAUAACAAGAUUGUAGGGGGCGUUAUAGCCAGUAUUGAGGACGCUCCUUAUUAUGUAAUGGUGAUUGCAGAAAGAAGUAGACGUCAAAAUCUUUGUGGAGGAUCUAUACUUACUGAAAAACAUGUUCUUACUACUGCGACCUGUGUCAGAGGUUAUUUAGCUGUUAAGGUGAGACCGGGUAUAUCAAGUAGAAAUGAAUCGGAAAAGGACAAACCAUUCAUAAAUGGAACCUAUAUCUAUCAUGAUAAAUAUAAAAGUUUUAAUAUGGACUAUGAUAUCGCACUUAUUCUAUUAAAUAUUUCAAUUGUAUUUGGAGCCACACAACAACCUAUUAAGGUCAUAGAAGCUGGAACUGAACUUCCUGCAGGCACGAACGUUAGAGCGUUUGGAUUUGGAUAUAGAAAGGAAGAUGGUCCUCCCAGUGAUCACUUAUGGUCAGCUUACAUGAAAAUAUCUUCUUAUGAAGACUGUCACCGAAAAUAUCGCGCAGCUUUCGCCCCCACAGCGAGGCAGUACUGUGCUGGUAAUGAAAAUGGCAGUAACAGUACUUGCCGGGGCGAUUUCGGCGGUCCUCUAGUAUUAACCUCGUCACAAGAACUGAUCGGAAUGCCGAGCGGUACUGUCUAUUGUGAAAAAAAAUUGGCACUUUCACUCUAUACCAACUUGGCGAAUACAGAAUUGAAUGAUUGGAUAACACAACAUACAAGUGACAUUAAAUAAUACCUUAGAAAUAUGUACGUGUACACAUUAAUUAUUGUUUUAUGAAGGCAUUAAAUAUUAAUGUUAACGAAUAUAAAUUGUGCGUAAAAUAAC